AUUCUGGCUCAGGAUGAACGCUAGCUACAGGCUUAACACAUGCAAGUCGAGGGGCAGCAUUGGGAUAGCUUGCUAUUCAGAUGGCGACCGGCGCACGGGUGAGUAACGCGUAUCCAACCUUCCUGCCAGUAGGGAACAGCCCGGCGAAAGUCGGAUUAAUGCCCUAUGUUCUUCAAUGCGGACAUCUAAGUUGAAGGAAAGAUUCAUCGCUGGCAGAUGGGGAUGCGUCCGAUUAGCUUGCCGGCGGGGUAACGGCCCACCGGGGCGACGAUCGGUAGGGGUUCUGAGAGGAAGGUCCCCCACACUGGUACUGAGACACGGACCAGACUCCUACGGGAGGCAGCAGUGAGGAAUAUUGGUCAAUGGGCGUAAGCCUGAACCAGCCAAGUAGCGUGCAGGAAUGACGGCCCUACGGGUUGUAAACUGCUUUUAUGCGGGGAUAAAGUGCGGCACGUGUGCCGCUUUGCAGGUACCGCAUGAAUAAGGACCGGCUAAUUCCGUGCCAGCAGCUGC
rnacentral:rRNA from 1 species